AGCAACCACUGGACUCCAUAUGCUCCGGGACUACUGUCGCUACCUGCACCCAGGGAGCAAUUUCUCAAGAUGAAUCAAUAAAACAGCUUCCACCUAUGAUCUACAUUCCUAUGUAGCCUGACAAAGAGACAGAAUGUGCUGAUCAAGUGGGACCUGAGAAUAUGUAAAUGACACCUUGCAUUGUGAACUGACUUGCAGGCGUAAUCGUGCCAACUCCAGCUCCUGUUACACUGCUUCCUGAGUCAGCGUGGCGAAGGCCUGGGCACAGACCUGAAACCAUCUCUGGUCUCAGGGGCUGGGGCAGCCAGUGUGAGGAGAUCCAGCCUGCCCACAGCUAACACACCACUUCCAGCUCUCCUUGUUUUCAACUGAUUCCCACAAUACUUACUUGGACAACAAAGCCAAAGAACUCAAUGCAUCAGGACAAAGUUUAUGUCUGCAUCCCUACGCAUAUGGAGAUUGGAAACUGGCACCAGAUUUAAAUCACACGCACAAAACAGAACUCUGGAUGUUACCACCGCUGCUCUGGCCUGGUCCUAAACCAGUUUUCCCCUUCCCAGUGAAGAAAACCACCCUCCUGCAUCUUUCUCGUUCCUUCCUCGCUACUUGGCCUCCAUCAACAAACCCUAUCUGUGUCAUCUGCGAUGCUGCCUGAAAUCUACCCAUUUCUCUCCAUCGCCAAGCCCACCUGGACCACUGUGACAGCCUGCCAGAUGGUCGUCCUGAGGGAUUCUUCGUUGCCUGCAACCAUCCCCCCCAUAACACGAGAGCCAUCUUUUCAAAACACAGUGGAUGCCAUCACUCCUGCUUAAACACUCUCAGUGGUUCUUGUAAUGGGAACCCUUAUUCUCAGCGGUUUCUGAAAGGUGGGCCACGGAAAGACAUCCUGCAACUUGUGGAUGGGAUCUUACAAUGGAAGAAGUGUUUUUGCAGAUGGAAUAAGGUUAAGGAUCUCGAGAUGAGAUCAUCCUGGAUUAGCU
rnacentral:lncRNA from 1 species